UAGAACUCCCAACUAAUCAUCACGAUUCCCAAACACACAGAUUCACAUUCAGAAGGAGUGUGAGAUGGCACUAGACUACUGCCCCAAUGGGUGUGGGGAAAGGUUACCUAGGAGAGAGAUGCUCAAGCAUACUAGAACAGUGUGCACUCACCAAGUAAGAGAAUGCGACUACAAAGACUUAUGGUGCACCUACAAGGGUACCAUCAAGGUAAAGAAGGUUGGCAGACAAACCUGUACUUAAUUUUUAUUUGGAGUCAAUUACAGGACCACCUCAACAAUAAAUGCAACUUCAAUCCGAUAACAUAUGCGUUAGUUCUACUGAUUUCUACUGCCCUAACAUAUACGUACACUUGUUUUGCAUUCUGUUCAUUAUCACAUAGGGGUUGGUUCCUUAAGAGUGUAUUGAGACGUUUGGUCCCACUAGAGCUGUGGGGGUCGAAGUACAACAGGAUAUCACAUUGUAUUCUACCAGUGUGGCUUGAGCAUCAAGGCCACGCCCCUCUCCCUCAUGAUGCUGGACCCUCGUAGCAAGUUGUACCUGAUCAACGUAUUUCACACUACAGGGCAUGUGAACUUCUCCUCUGAGGUGACUGCUGCCUUCAGGCUCUGUGAUGGUCUCGUACUGUUUGUGGAUGCUUCAGAAGGGCUGGGUUGGUCGUCUAUGGAUCUCUGAAGCCAACUAUCAAGUUGAGAUCAGUCGAGUGCCGGCUGGUAACUGGGUGCUCAUAGAGGGAGUGGACCAGACCAUCACCAAGACAGCCACCAUCACACAGAUCAACGACUCAGAGGACGUUCAUUUCAAAAACUAACUGAAAGAAUGGACGUGGACGAAGACCUAGGCCUAGACAAGCUCUUUUCUGAAGAAGUACUCGGUAUAAUAAUGACCGAGCCCAUAGACCCCGCCCUCUAUGACAUAAAUGUGGAGGCAGAGCUGGCUACUCUUUCUACAGAACAAAGAAAGGAGGAGGAGCUGGACGAGCCAACAGAACCUGCACAAUCUUCUCUACCUAACUCAAAGCGAAUGAAGCAAAGUAUCUGCAGGCCUCUUAUCACGGCAGGUGCAGUGUACAGUUUGGAUAGUGAUAUCUGCAUAAGGUGAAUAAUUAGAAUGGAAAUCCCGGGAUUGACCUGUUCAAGGAUGCUUGUUUUGCUGACUUUCGAGUGUGCCUAAACUCCGAAAUGAAGCGCUUGCAGAGAGCUGGACUAGGGUCACAAAAGAAGGCUGAACCUCUAAUACAUACUCCGUGCAACUGCUGCUACUAGACAGCGACUGAACAUUAUAAUUUUUUGUCAUUACCAAAAACAGAACAGUUACUUCUCAUUGUUUUUUAUAAUACAAUCUACAAAAAACAUGUUUGAAAAACACAAAAAUUAAUAAUGAAUGGUUGUUGUGAACAUGAAAAUUACAGGUUUAUAUGAGAAUUUACAGGUUAAUAUGGGAAAUAUAAACCCUGUACUGACCAAUCAGAUUGCUGGAUUCUGGGUAGCCUCGAUUCCAGGCCGCUUGAAGAAGGCGGCCUGGUAUACCUUGUAUGCGCAUGCGUGUACAUUACCCCAAAAAGGGGGUAAUCCGUGUAUUUGUGGAUACUGUCAGUAAAAUAAACCGUAUACUAUUUGUAUUCUGAUUUUUCAGUCCGUUACAUAAAAUUAUUGUGCAAAAAUGACUGAGUUCUUACGCCCUUUAUUGUAUCAAGCCAAGUCUCUACUUAAUGACACCCUACACUGUAAGGCUACAGAUGUUAUAGGAAAGGCAUGAUGUGUUCCUGUGGGUCCCCUGAUGAGGCUGUGGUAAUAUAGACCAGGCAAGUGUUCUGCUACUAAAUCUUGCCUUUAUGUUCGACAAGAAGUCAUUGCUGAAGAUAAAGAAGCUAAUGAUUACUCCUUAAAGCUUUUAAUAAGCUUUAACUCAACACUCAGGAAGUUAUUCACUCAAGAUCUACUGAUGUAUUAAAGAGUCAACCACUCUUCAUAGCUGGCAGCUCUAGCUGUCUGGGAGGCUUUCUUAAACUGUCUCUUUGAUAAACAGAGCUAGAAGAAGCAACACUGCUGCAGCAUAAUUAUUCUACUUUGAUUAGUGUCUCUGAAAGCUGCCAUUGUGGUCACAUUGUCAUACGUAUUAUUCCCUUUUGUAACUUUGUCCGUUUUUUUACAAUUUGUAUGAUGAAA